AUGAAAUGUUUGCCGUGAAGGGUUGUAGCUGGCCCCCCUGGGGCGCACGUGCACGCCCGGAUCGCAUCCACCUCCAACACCUGUGCACAGCCUGUAGCCUGGGAUGAUCACGAGGCCCUUGUCGGUCGCGAAUGCCCUCGUCUACGAGUAUUUUACACACACCAGUAGUCACAUGGAAUGUACACACGAAGCGUCUAACAAGCGCGACGAAUA
rnacentral:misc_RNA from 1 species